CUUUGCAGUUGUUAUCUGCCAGUUCUCCUUAAUGGUUAUCAGAGGAGUUACCAGUGCAGUAGUUGAUGUUUUUCAACAAGGUAUAAAGAAAUGGCCAUUUCAGAAGUAACAAGGCAGAGGUCCAGAGAAAUGGGAGUACUGGACUCUUAGGAAAGCACUAGGUGCAGUUUAUGUAGGAAAUUUUGAACAUAUUUACAUUUCACAUUGUUGAUGUUUUUGCUGUGUUCAUCAGCCUCUCCUAUUCCCACUCCUGAUAGGCUCACUGAGGCAUGACAGUGUGCAUAAGGAGAGACGAUGCCACUGCCAAGGCUUCUGGCUUUAUCUAAUUUGGACAAAUGGCAUCUUCUGCAAUUCCUUGUUUUCCACUCCUGGAAGUGUUGAGGGUGGCAGCUGCCAGCUGUAAGAAAGAGCCUUCAUCCUGAGCCCAGGAUGGCUGUGGGAAAGCCGGGGCAAUACAACUGCAAUGCUCUUGGAGCCAGUAGGGCAAUGGGACAGAUCUCCUCUCUGCAGUCACCUCACAGAAGUGGCUUCUGGUUUUCCUUCCUUCUGGGCCUGAUCCUGUCUCCACUGGAAACAGGAAGACUCUAAUUGUCCCUUUUCUGUGUCUUCUCACCUCCUUUAUUCCAUUGAUAUUAAAGAGUUGGCUUCUGCCAGUGGUGCCCAUUGUUUGAGGCUGGUGCAUGAUGCACGAAGAGCUGAUGCAUGAAGAGCUGGCUCCUCUCUAAUAGCAGGGCUCUUUCCAAAAAGGAAGUUUGCUUGCCAAGAAGCCUUGAGAAGCAUCUGGCUCUUGAACAUCUCCUUCCUGAACCUGACAUUGGGUACUGAUAGUAACAAGGGACCUAUUCUUCUCUGAUGUCUAUUUCCCUUUCCCCACCCUCAGACCUCUUCUCAGCUUCUAUGUCACUUUUCAAGUCCACACUUCCUCCUAUGCUCUUUGUCCCAGUGAUGUCAGAAAAAAAGAAAAAAUAUGCAAUUUUCCAAAAAAUCCAAACUACUGACAUCAUUGCUGAUUUCAGCAGUGACUCAUCUCCAGGCUCACACUGAGAGAGCUAACUUUUAUUGCUCACUAUAAAACAAUAUGUCCUAAUGGGUCUGGGGAAGGGGGCUGAGGGGUAGUGGUCCAGUGCUUUGUGAUGCCAAUAAGAGGACAUUUAGCCUGGAAAUUCGUGAGUGUAAUUUAUAGGGAAGCAUGCCCGCGUGCACACACACACACAGGUAAUGAUGGUGUUAGCCGUCUGACAAAUUGCGGGGCCCUGCACAUUUGACCUCCUCCCCUGCCCUGUGUGCAGUAUCACAUCUCCCAGGGGGUUCAUCCUGACAUCCCACCCCGGAGCAGCUUCCAGCUGCUGCCAUUUUGGAUAUCCUGCCUAUUUAUUUCUUUCCAGAUAUCCUCCCUGCUCUCAUCCCUGGGGUUACUCUGUUUUCACUGCUGCUGCAGGCAGGGCUCGGUUUUGAGCCAAGCUUUGCUUGAGGAUCAAAUACAUUAUAAUUUUACUGAUUAGAAAUGUGAACUGUAUAAAGUGGCGGAAAGAGGAACUUCAAAGACCUCUACUGAGGUAUUUAGCUUUUGUCUUUAGCCCUGAAUAUUCUCCAUAUAGCAGACUCCAAACCUGAGACCCUUUCCUAUGUACAGGAAAGUUAUUCUGGAAAUCUUCUGAAUCACUUUGGAUUGAUUAAGUUUAUUCUUUCUCUCCUUCUGAGCUGUGUACAGUUCACCUUACACUAACCAGGGCUCGAGAAGUACAGAGAUCUCAAAAUGGUUCAAAUAAAAUUUUUAAAGGGUUUACAAGCAUUGCAAAAAUAGUUUUGCUUCAAAAUAUUCAGUGUAUAGUAUCUGAUUCAGCACAUCUUUUCUCCUGGAUUUUAGUACAAGUUAAGUACUUAACUGCUGAAUAGUAAUAGAUUAAAGCACAUGUUUAAACAGUUUGCUGAAUACAGUCCAUACAAAAUACAGGAUGUUGUGCUACAUGGUUUUUUCUUCACCCGUUCAGGGCUGAAAGUACACAUUCAGUAGUGGCUUUAAUACUUCUGAUGAAAAAAGGCAUCUCACAUUCAUCCGGGUAAACACCUUCACGCCACACUACCCAAUGUCCUCAUGCACUCCUUUUAGUCUGCUUGUUUAUUUGGACACCUAUAUUGUAGCAUUCAGCAAAAUGUGAAAUCAGGUGUUUGUAUCGUAGCAUGGCACUAAAUAAACUCAAAUUACAGUGUUAUGUUUUCAAAAUUUCUAAUAUAAAGAUACUUGCAUUGCUAGAGCAUAUCAUAUUAGUAGGAAUCAAUCCUUGACAUAUAUUCUAAUUGGUAUAUUGUGAUUUCAAUUGAAAACUUUGCUAAAUGUCAGUGUUACUCCUGCUUCUCUCCCUCAGAUUGUUUGGUUUCAAGUUCUGACCAUUUGCAGGUUUUUAUUUACUCGCUCCAGUUUCCUUCAUUUCUGUUUGGUUCAAGAAAAGUCACCUCCCGUUUUUCCCUGCCUGCAAAGCAAAGGUUUCCCUUUGAGCUUCUGAACCUGCAUAUGGCAAUUAUAAUCAGUAAUGAAAAGUCAGCAAAUAGAAAUUUAAACAUUUGCUUUUCAGUAGAACGAAUGCUGGAUCCUCUUGAGCAGUCAGGGCAGGUGAUGAGACUGUCUGUCAGAAACUCUCAUGUUUGGCAGGCCAAUUUAUGUGUCUGAUGUUCCCGCUCGUUCUUCAUCAUAAAAUAAACCCACUUCACUUGUCAAACAUCUUCCUUUUCUGGAAUGUGUCUUGCGUGCACACUGCUCGUCCAUUUGAAACUCAGCUGCGCCUCUAGCAGUCAAUCUGACAGCUCAGCCAGACUCUGUUCUAAAGACAUUUCCCAGUAGCCCACUGAAGUAUCUCAAAAGUUUGGGGCUUGCAUAAUGGAAAUAUUUUUUAUCCAUUAUUUUUCUUAACAGAGUUUCUUAAGUCUUUGCAGGAACAGAACUGGAGUUUUGAGUUCUUUAAAAUAGGAAUAAAAAUCCAAGUCUUCUAAAUGCUGAAAUGUCCAGGCUAAUGCUUAAUGUCGCCCUCCUAUAAUAGCUUGUGUUGAGUAAGCAAAUGCAGAGCUGUGCUAAUAGUGGAACUGGCCACAGAGGCUCUGUGGGUUCAGUUGCUCCUCAGUGACUCUAACUUAGGGAUAACUCUUCAGACCAUACUGCCUCACUGUUUCCUGACUACAGUCAUCAGCAUUUUUUGUUGGCUGAGCUCUGAACCAAUAGCCAAGCCUGGCUGUAUGGCUGGGAUGGUCAGCCCAGGGUCCUGCCCUAAACAGAGAUGCCUCAGCGGGUCUUCUCUCAUCCAUGCUUUAGGGCAGCAAGGAGGGAGGUGAAGAUAGAGAGACUCAUCUUAUGCUUGUUCUUUCUAAUCCGGGGUAGAGAAUUUUGUGCAAAAUGGGACAGAGAACCCUUGCCCACCCCACUCAGUUAUCGUAGUAAGGAAGGUAUCUAGUGCUUGAAGGAGCGCUCCCAGUUGGGGGACAAACUGUUUAUUAAGAGAGUUUCUUUCCAACCCUGAGUUGCCAGUGAUUGAUUUCUGCUCUGAAGCCUCAGAGUUUUUACCUGCACCAUUAGGAUUUUGGUGAAACAUGGGCCAUGGAGACUAGAUCUGUGAGACUAGAGGUUGCCCAGUUUGGUACAUGUGGAACUCCAAAAAUAGGAUCAUAUCCAAGAAGCUUGGGGCAUGUUAAUUAUUAGUUCCACUGCUAACUUUUGCAUCUUGUCUCUGAUGCAGUAUGGUCAGAGUUCCUAAUGUGCAUGUUGCUUUCCCCUAGCAGAUUGAACUUCUAUUGUCCUUUAAACUAUGCAGAUCCUCCCACCAGUCUCUCCCUGUGGCUGCCCCAACUGCGGCUCUCAGUGAGAAGCCUGUUUUGCUCAGGAACCUGGAAACUAUUUUAAGGCCUGAGGUUCCUGCCAUGCAAAGAAUGGUGUGUUAUGCAUCUUGUUCUGAAAAAAUCACUUCCAUUCAGUUAAUCAGACAGUUAUUCAUCUCACACUGUAAUUGUAGCCUGUAAGACACUCAUCAUCUCCAGGUAUGUUGAAUGAACUAAUCUCAUAUUUAAGAGUUUGUCAACAGUAUAACUGGAUGCAAUGAUUUUGACUAAGAUUUUCUAGCAUGGCAUUUUACAACACAUUUUUUCCUAUGACCUGCAGUGAGAGGACAACCUUAAUAACUUCAACAUCAGUGCUUCUCCUCCUAUAGUUUAUACCUGGGAAAAAGAAGAACAGGGUAAAUUAAGUGUUUUUCCUAUGUUCACCUAGGAGGAAAGUUGACAAACUGAAUUGAAAUCCAGAGCUCAAUCCACCAGCUCACAGCCCAGGCAAUACUGCCUACAACAUAGACUCCCAAUGUACAUAAACUGGAAUACAAAAGGGAGCACAAAACUGAAUUCAGGAGAUGCCACAAUGUUCCUCAAGCUCAAGGCUGACAGAGGCAGAGUUACAGGAUAAGCUAAUUGCAGAACAAAGUACUGAGAAGACUGAAAUGAUCACUGACAAUAUGAAGCCACCUCUUUCCUUAGCCAAAUGAUGGUCCAAUUACCAGUCAGUUAAUAUUUAAUAUAACAUAUGUUUUAGCAUUACAAUAAUGUGCCAGGACAAAGGGCAUCACUAUUUUGAUAAGUGAUUGACCUUCCAGCAGCAGAGAGGAAAGGGAGAGGGACUUUUUUACCUUCAAAGUAAAUAAAAGGAUUGGCACAUACUGUGGCCUAAAAAUUUAAUUUCCUAUUUUUUACAAUUAUAUUAAAGACAAAUCAAAUGACUCUUAUGUUGGCUGAAGAUCUUACCUUAUGAUUACUCAGUUGAAAGCUUUUGCAGCAUAACAAAUUACCACCCAUCUGGUAAGCCAUCAUAUCUAGCCCCAAGUGUGCUCUUAGCCAUCCUUAUAGCGUGAGUUGAAGCACAUCAGCAUCAGUGGGUUGGCCUGUCCCUCAGAGGUGCUAAUGCCAUUUGUUUGGAAGGGCAACAGCACUCUUUGUCCAGGUGGUAGGAGCACGCAGCCAUCUGCUGAGCUUCUGAAACAUGUGGCAAUAAGGACUGGGAGCUAUUGUCAAAUCUCCACCUUCUGCAAGACAGAUUCUGUGGGGUAAGGAAAUGACAGGAGCUGCAGUCACAAAGCUUUCUGGGAUCUGACCCACCAAUACUUCUGGCAGACACCUACAGUCUCUCCCAGAUGUCCAAGGCUGAAAAAUCACACCAAAUGCAAAUAAUAAUAGCCAGCUGUUUCGUUCAUUGGACAACAAGCACUAUUCUUACCAAUUUGAAUGACUUAAUUGUUUUGAGAAGUCCUUUAAUUUGCAGAUUGUACCUUGAGUCAGCCUGUACGGAUAGUGCCUGAUGAGAUUAAUUACCUGCAUUGAUAAGAAGGGGCAGUGCCACAGUGUAGCAUGUACUUUCAGACUAAAUAGCAAACAUCAGAGGAUGGCAGGACAAGAGGAGACAGAGCCAUUGAAGACGUUGAUCUGAGCUACAUGUUUCUCCAAGAACUGUGGUUUUUUGCUGUAGACACAAUCAAAUAUGCCAAAUGGCUGCUAAAAUGUAAAUGUUAGCAGUCAAGGUCACCUUCCAAGGGAUACCGAACAGCAUGCCCCAGGCAGACCCCAUUAGUAGAGGCACUGACAGCAUCCCUAUCACCAUCUCCUCCCCCAGUUCUUUACUCCGUGCUGAGAAAUAUUCCAGAGGCAAAAGCCUUUUCCAUCUGAUGCUAAAAAGCUGCUCUCUCCUCCCACCUGGCUGAGGCUCAAGUUUAAUAAAAAUCCUCAUUAGUUUUCAUCUAAAUAUGCAGGAGGUCCAUGCCAACUAUUGCAGCUGAGUUAGGGAAAGCCAAAGCAGGUUCUAAUUAAAGACAGGACCAGACCAAAACCUCGGGUCACAAGCCCAUAUCUUGGGGAAAUUUGGAUCCAGGCUCUGAAUGCCAUUGAUCAGGAUGAUCUCUUCACUCAAAGGCCUGGGUACUACCUGGCAGCACAAUUACAAACCCCUCAGAGCAACCCUUUGAUUCAGCCACUCUGCGUAACAUGGUGGAGUUUCUCUGGCUGCUUCAUUUUAAUUAAGGGAUGGGAAGCUUUAAUUAAUACAACAUGACAGUGAAAAUAUAAUCAGUCGAGUGGCCCCUGUUGUUUGUUCGCAUGUUAAUUUUGCCUUUUUAUUUUUUUUUAACACGCUUGUUUUUUAAUUUUGUGCAGUUAUGCCUGAAAGCCACUAGCAGCAGUGACAGUGUUCCUCAAGGAGCCUGGGGGAACAAGGUGUUAAUAAGUGCUAGGUUUGGCACCUGAGGAGCCAUGGAGGUGCCUGGGGAUUAUAUAAAACAAACAAGGUAGCUGGGUUUUUCUGUUAACAUCAUCAUUAGGGAAGGACUGAAAAUCAAUGAUAUCUUUUAUUUCUGUCUUUACGUUUGAGAAGCAACAAUGUAUUGAGAUAAACGGAAUCAACCAGAUACAGUUUUCUCAUUGGCACACACUGUGCCAAUUUGAUCACAUUUGCCACGUGAUUUUCCCACGUUUUAGAUCUAUUCUGCAGCAAAGAUAAACUGUCAUGUAACUGUGAGGUCUAGAGCACAAAAGAGAAAUCCUGAACCUGAAACUGUGUGGCCAAUUAUGCUCACUUUUCCUUGUCACUUAAAAUGCAGAGUUGUUCCCUGUUUAAACUUCUUAUUUCCUUGCUUCCUAACAUCAUAAAGGAGUUGAGGUCCUCUCCAGGUGAGCAGAAAUGCUGUUUUCAUACUAUAGCAUUUUACUGUACUUUUGUAAUGGGCUGUUUCUCCUGCCACUUCAUUUCUGUCCAGGAGAGCUCUUGGGUUGCAAAAUCCUGUGACUUUGAGCAGUGGAGAUGCUGGUGGCAAAAACUGAAGCUGGAGCUUGAACACAUUAGCACAUUUCCAACAAGUCCCAAAACACAGGGUCAUGUUAGCAACUGUUGACAGAGAGGCCUCAGCUGGAAAGCAGAUACAAAUUAUGGGGUUUGUGGCCAUUUGGAACAUUGGUGUUCUCCUGAUAGUCCGUGACUGAAACAGCUCAGCUGUUCUAACCAAAUGUAAAUAUCUACAUCUGCAUUUCACACCUCAGUUUCCUUUAAGACUAAUGGUCUGGAAUAGACAUUUCAUCUCACCCGAAAGGCUUCAGACCUUUAGGGUGCCUGUGUCUUUCCUGAAUACAAGGAGAAGCUUACUGGCUUCGGGGAGCUUGCUUGUACAUGAAUUUUGCAUGAUGGGAAUUGAGUGUUAAAUGAGAUGAGUUCCAGUUGCCACAUACAUAACCCACUAAUUCUGAGGCCAGAAUCCUGCCUUAACAUUUUCAAAGAGUUCUAGUGAAUGAUAUUUUGAGUAAUAGUUUAUGGAUAUAGAACUUAUGAACUGAGGCAUUGUUGCUCUGCUUAUUCAAUUAAGCUAGAGCUUACAAAAUACUAUCUUGUCAAAACAUUUUUUGUAUUGAGCCUAUGAGUUUUGCACAUGCUGAAAUUAAUUGUAUUAAGCUUUAUGAAACUUUCAGCAGAAAUAACACUUCUCAGCUGAUUCUGCUUGCCAGGGGCCCAUAAAAAGCUCUGAGAAGUCCAUGAUAGCCUUCAAAGUUGCUUUUCUGGAUGGCAUCAGUAUUACACAGUGAAAAAGUAAUACAAAAGUCUUUUAAUGUUCCAAUGGUCCUAAAUAUUCAGGGUCUUUUAUUCUUCAGUAAUCAAUAUUUUCCAUUAAUCAUCUGGCAAUUCAUGGUUGUAGAAUUAGGAGCAGGUUUUAGUUGAUGAGACCAUAGCCAGAGCUACAGCUCCUGACUAGCCAUGUCUGUAGAUUCAGGCAGUGUUUGCCUGAAAUAGCAUUACAAGCUUUAGUCAGCCACAUGCACACAGAGGUUAGCUACUUGCAGCACAAAGCAUUGUGGCUAUUGUUAAUGGCAAUUGUGUGAUGUUGAUAGGAGACUAGAACUCCAACACCCUUUAGGAAGCAGCUGAGAUGAAAAAAACAGAGCUGAUGGAAAAAACAUCAAUAUUUCCUUCAGUUGUGUGAGACUCCUGUGAAGAUUUACAUAAUUAAUCUUCAGCAACAAAACAUUUAUAAUGCAGUUUAAUAAGCUGGGUGAUAGACAGGUCAUGUUAAUUACCAUCUUGCUUCCUGGUUUUAAAAGCCAUUGUUUCCUAGCUCUUACUUAGGAGUCAAUAGCUUGUAUGAGCUUGAAGACAGAGCAGCAAAUUUGCAGAUGAUUACUGCCUGAGUGCUGGGGAUCUAUGAGAGGGGUUCAAGUUCUUGCGCUGCCACAGGCACUACGUGUGACUGCGGGGGAGCAAGUGGUUUUGGGCACAGUUCUGCACUGCUGAUACCUUAGUUGCUGUUAUCUCAGCAAGUGAUGUCUGUUACCCCAGCUGCAGGUUCAGUCACAUCCCUCUUACAAUUACAAACUAAUUGUGGGGCUGUGUUCUAAAAUACAUAUGUAAAAUUGUGUGUGUGGCUUGUAGUUUUUCAUAAGGUUUUUUUUGUUUGUUGUUUGUUUGGUUUGUUUUUUUUUAAAGAUACCUCUUUGAAUUUUUUUUUGGUCAUUAAAUACUAUCGUGUCACAAUCUGCUGAAGAGAUACUGACUUCUUGUAAAAGGAAGGAAGGGGGAAAUGAAUGGCUGGAGAGGGAUUCCUGGUCAUCAUGAAGAACUUUUUGCAGCCUAACUAUGUGAAGGCUUUUGUAACUCUUCUGUACAAGGUUAGUGUAGAGGAAGGAUUUCAAUGACAACAAUAAAGUUGUUAUCCCCCCUGUUUGGGGGGAUGCUGUUUGAAACUCCAAGGGCUAUCAUGGGGUAGAACAUGGUAUGAAAGAAAAGGGACUUGUCUGAGAUUCGAAAAGGGCAGGAGAGACUAGAACUAUGGGCAAAUUGGAGACAGAAAUCACCUUUAAAGUGUUAAAAAGAAAAUCACGGCACAUGGACAAGCAAUAUCUUUACACAACAGAGAAAGGGCAGCCAGUACAAGGUUUCACAAUCAGAGGUGACGUGGGCAAACAGACAGGCUAUGAAAAGGAUCUUUGCAGUGGUGCUCGGAGGAAUACUGGCAAAGCAAAAUUGUGUUAGUGUUAAGGAAAAGGAUGUUGCAAGAACUGAGACCCGAGUUAAUGAGACUUUCAUUGUGUAACUGGAUAAGCAAGUCUGGAUUUUGAUUUUACUUUAAAAAAGAGGUGAAACUUUAAGCUAGGGGAUGGAUGUGAGAAGCCAAAGAGAAACUCACACCCCAAUUGUGAGCUUGAUGCAAGGUAACAGUGUUAUCCAAUUGCUUAAGAAAGAACAAGCAGGAAAGAAUGGGCUUUGACAGGAAGAACUCUGUUGCAGUCUGGCAUAGCUUGCUGACAUCUCUAAUGAAUUGCUAACAAAACAGAUAUUUUAGUUUGGACAGGAAGAGACUUUUCUUGUGCAGAGAGCAGAUCAGUCACUUGAGGAAAGAACGAGCCACGGAGUGAUGUUUGCAGAGUAGAAUAUCCAGAAUUAGAGGAUUGCAGGAAAGAGGAGGGCAGAUCCAUAGAAAUAAAAAGGAGAAGAUUUGGUCAUGAUGCAGGUGGCUGCAGGAGAGUUCGGAUGGGUGGUGCUGCCCUGGGGCUUAGAUAUGCCAGAGGUGCUUGAUGUCAGCUGGACUGAGAGUAAAGCCAAAGAGACAGGCUGGAGCUACUGCUUUUGAGAAAGGGCCCCAAAACCUCAAGGUGAAAUGGACUGUAUGGUAGGACAGAAGGUAUGGAAAUAUCACUUUAAAUUGCUGUAUCUUAUAAGCUAUUAGAGAGUAGAAUAUGCUUGCUCUCUAACUCUCAUAACCUGGCAUUCUUCACUUCCUAGGUGUGCAUAAACCAAGCUUCCCAUAAUGGUGUCUCAAACUUGAAACAAUCACUAUCCCUAAGAAGAUUAGGAGAUUAAAAUUAUUUACAGUAGUGCACUCUCCCACCAGGCUGUACAAUCAGGGCUUUCCAGGGAAAAAAAAGAUGUUUGGGCUUCUGUGAGUCAAAGUCUGUUUGGUCUUCUCUCCUGAGUAACACUACAGAGCACAUACUGUAGGAAUGCUUGCAUGUCUUUGUGUCCUGUGCUACCUUGGCAUCUCUGCAUCAGCACAAAGAAGAACAGAUUUUUCACCCUAUGGGAACUAGUAUCCUGGCAUUAGGCUGAGUUAAAAUGCUCUUUGGAAUAGGUUUUGCUGCAGUCAUUUGAGACUGGUGACUGAAAAGAAGGGGGAAAAAAGAAAUCGAAUAGGGAUCUCGAUAAAUAGAAUUUCAGAUCUUGCAUAAUACCAUUCAAUGGCAACAGCAGGUGUUUGACAGUACUGUGAACUUCCUCAGAAUGGGAUCCUGCCAGCAUGGCUGUGAUUCAGUGCAAUGAUUCAAUGACUGCAGGACGGUAUCCUGCCAACCAGCCUUCCAGCAGAAAACUGUUCACCCCACUGCAAACACUGCCAGUCCAUUAGCAUUUCAGAUUUAGUCUAUCUGCACGUCAGCAGAAGGAGUGUAUCCCCUUCAGGUAAUGGGAGGAGGAAGGGAGGGACAAAAAUUCCCUUUUCUACCAGGGAAUGAAAGGCAAAAUCAUUAGCUGCAACGUUAUCUCCGAGGAGGAGCAUGGGAUAUAUUUUUUUUUAAAGCUCAGAGUUAAAAAAAAAUGUCUUCCUUUUAUUCUUCAGCCCUGCUUUUCUUUCCACCUCCAAACAGGAGCUUGUCAAGAGAUUCUCAUCAGUUUUCACUUCUGCCUUCUAAACUGUGCAGAAAUACUACCAACAUCCUGAGAUAAGCAAAGAAACUCAAGGAGUUGUCUUUAGCACUCCACGUUACAGAUAUUUUUUCAGCUUCUAUCCUGCAGCACCUGUGCCCUCUCCAGUACCCACACACCAAGCCUCCUGUGCUCCUGCAGCACAGAUGUGCAAGUAUAAGCCCAUAUCAGGAAUAUUCCCAAAUGCAUGGCUCUUGGAGACACUUGACAUGUGUACAGAAGAGGACAAGACUCACUCAGCUGUCACUCUCCAGCCAUGCAACCCACUAGCCUGGGGCUGAGCUAUGUGAGAUGAAACCUCCUUCAAGUAAACACGUGGUUAGGGUGCAACAAGGUGGGAGAAAAUGCAAUUUAGCUCAGCUCUUCUCUUGCUCCAUUUUUCCAUUGUGUAGCAGAAGGAAAAGAGAGAGUGGAGCUGAGUGAAGCACAGUGCUGCUACUAUAAUCUUUGUUGCAGCACAAUGUUCUCAUCCUUUCCCAGCUCUUUUAAACCUGCUGUAAUAUGAAUAAUGAUACAUUCCGCUUACAGAGACUUUGUUAAAUACAUUGCCUUUAUCACAGGUGCUGCGCAAACUUCUAGGAUCAAAAAGGACUCUUUGAGAGGUGAUUAGUGCAGGAGGGAAGGGUUUAGUUGUCUAAGCACCACAUUUGCAAUAAUUAGGCUCCCUGGAGUGAUAGGUUCAAAUCCUAGCAGGGUUGACUCAGCCCUUCAUCCCUCUAAGGUAGAUUAAAUGGGUUUUCUGUAGUAGGGUCUUUUGGACAAGACCUUAAAAAGCACAUGAGUUUUCUCCUUUUAUUGCAAGGAUGAAUUUUACAGAUUUAUAAACCAGAUAUGCAAGAUAUUUCACAUAAAUCUAGCUGUCUGCCCAAGCACUAUUUGCCAAAACCUGUUUUCAUUGUUGCAAUGACCAUGCAGGUCUCUUACCACCAGCCUCCUUCCCAAAGGGGCUCUUUUGUGGUGAAACGUAGUGUAGUGAGGGACAUGGUUUGGGAUUAGGCAAUGCAGUUUGAAUGUAUCCUGUAACUAAACACAACCAUCAGCCUCUAGUUUUUAGAUUACUCUUUAAAAAUUAUUAUUUUCUACUAUAUAGUGCUAUUCUCUCCCUUGAGGGUGACUGACCCAGUCACAGGUCAAAACAGAACACGGGCUUUUGUAGCACCAUAGGCUGAAGGAGAGUUGAUUCUGUUUUGUUUUUAAAAAAAAUAGAAAAAAAAUUAUUUUGUUAGAUGAUUCCUGUUACGGGGGGAGGAGGGUAGACAUGACUUUCCUCAUGCUUUUUUGGUCUUCCUAGGAAGCUAAGGUCAUUGUCACUGGGAGCAGUUCAAGAGAAAUGCUCAGAGCAAGUCUUUGGGAGUCCCCUUCAGAGAAGGGAAAAUAAAAUGAAUUAUAGAAUAAUUUAGGCUGGAAAAGAUCUUUAAGAUCUUUGAGCCCAACCAUUAACAUAAGCAUUGCCAAGUUCACCAGUAAACUAUAUCCCUAAGUUUUAGGUGGGUCUUGUUCCUUCUUAUUUUAUCCCCGCACAACGUCAUGACAUCCUCAUAGUCCUCCUAAGUUGCUGCCCCUUCUUUCAAAGGUAAUUUUUUUCCUUAGUUCCAGCCAAAGCUCUUUGCUCAGCCAGGCUGGACUUCCCCACCAGCUCGUCUUUUGGCACACAGGGAUGGUCUGCUCCUGCACCUCUGAGAUUUCCUCCUUGAAGAAUGUCCAACUUUUCUGGACUCCUUUGCCCUCAGGACAGCUUUCCAGGGGACUUUCUCAACCAGGCUCCUAAACAGGCCAACAUCUGCCCCCCAGAAAAUCCAAGUUAACAGUUCUACUGACUCCCCUUCUUACUUCUCCAGCAGUCAAAACCUGUAUCAUUUCAUGGUCACCUUCCCUAGUUGGCUCACUCACCAAUUGUGUCAGGAACCUUCUAGACUGUUUCCUCUGUGCAGUAUUAUAUUUCCAGCAGACAUCUGAUAAGCUGAAGUGCCCUGUGAGAAUAAGGCCCAGCAACUGUGAGACUUUUGCUAGAAUUUUUCAUCUGCCUCCUCAUAGUAAUGUCUCAGGGUCAUGCCAGGACUGUAGCUGCUCACCUUGGUGACUGAAGAAAAGGCAAUUUCAACCUUAUCUCCUAGGCCUUUCCUUAGUGUAGACAGAAUCACAUAACCAAAGAUGAUGAUUGUGAAGAGAGGGACUGUGAAAGAAACUCAAAGGAAACUUUCUUUUAGCAGAGAGCAUGGGUAGGGGAGAAGGCAGGGGGGGCAAGGUGCAGAAAAAUAAAUAAAACAGAGGUUUCCAGGACUAUGCACAGAACUGCAGGUAUCUGAGGGAAGAACUGGCUGAGGAAAGAAAAUUAUGUGGGACAACACAGAAAACAACCAUGCAAAAGUGGAAAAAAGGUAAGGGAGAGGAACUGACAGGGACCAAAGACAGAGAAAGGACUAGAAAAAAGUGUUGCAGUUAUUCCUCUUUGAUUUUGUUUUCCUAAUGGUAAAGGAGUGCAGUGGAAAUGCAGGCUGUGCUUGGUGAUGAUCUUCCCCUGAGGUCCUGUCCUCCUGCAUUUCUCCCUGGCCUGGAGAUGCAGGGACUCUAGACCAGGCUGGCACUUCAUUUGCCCGAGCUGAGUGUUCUGUACAUAAUUCUUCUCCAACAAAGAAAACUGACUUCCCAUGCAGUCAAUACAGGGGAAAAAGGAGGAGAGAGAUGUAAGUAUGACUGAAUAGCAGUUGAGUACAGCUAGCUAAUUGCAGCUUCAUGCAAUCGCUUUCAUAGUUGUUAUCAUAACUGUAUAUAUUUCCAGCUCAAUUCGUCUAUCUUUUCCGGCCUCCUGUCUUUGCAGCUGCCUCCUCUUCUCUCCUUCCUGGUGGCUGCAAAUCUCUGCUUAUCACCCACUUUCAUGCUGUGUUUUGUCUGCCUCUUUGUGUUCAUCCCUAUACCAGCUUCUUGGCUGCAUGUGGCAUUAUCUUAUUUCCUGGAUGUUUUGAGAGACUUUGGUAUGAACUACUUGCUUCAGUUAACAUGUAUGACCUUUUGCCUUAUUUUGUUUUUCUGGAUGAUUUAAUUUUACACAUGUUUACACUAAGGACUAGUUCUGCAAACUGAAGUGGUCAACAUGGACAUGCAAUUGCUAUGUGAGGCAGUAAGAAUUAAGACAAUUAUUUAUUUAUCAAAUUUCUUUUUGUAUGAAUGUAUCCAUCCACUGCAUUAAUUUUUCAUGGAAGCUCAUUUUGAAAAAAACAUCCUCUCCUCCCGGGAAGGAUUUGAACUCUUUAGGGAAUUCCCCCAAAUUCUCGUGUUUUUUUCUUUAAUUGAACCCCACCGUGUAAGAAGAGCUCCGUCCACAAUAUUGAUUGCAGAAAAACAUGCAGACCUGUCAAUCUCCCUUUUCCCAAGGCAAAACUCUCCUAUUGUCUUUUUCUGCCGGGGUAUAAUCUCCACAAAGACAGACUUCAAACAGUUAAGCUUCUUCCCAUUGUAUUGGGACUACACGUAAUGUUCCACUUUACAUUAACAUUUAACAGGUUUCAAGCUUCAGUGAUAAACUAAAAAUGUUUUUCGUUCAUGACAACUGCUUGACAGUUUUCAAAAAUGGAUAAAAAAUGGAAAAUUACCCUACAGAGGAAACAUCCCCUUCUCUUCAUAACUCAGGCUGAGACAUGGCAUGAACGGAAUAACACAUUUAUUACAUUCUGGGCACUGAACAUAAAAUGCAUUGCCUCCCUCUAUUCUGCUUGAUUUGAUAAUCUAGUACAAUUUAGGUCCCUAAUAAAUUAAAUUGUUCGGAAACUUGGUUCACUGCCUAAGCUCUGUGCAAGGCUGUGCUGUUUAAUGAUGCCUUUCUUUCUUUCGGUGUUUUAUCUUUGGGAUAAAUAAUUCAGCCUAAUAAACCCUGUGAUCUGCUAGGUUAAUUGACACCCACAGUAAUUCUCAGCUUGUGCACAGCACCCAUAUUGGUCUUUCACAGGGUCCCAUAGCACCACCUAAUCUAUGCAGCUCACCAGUCAGGUUCCCUGCAUUGCCAUAAGCCCUACUCAUUGCAAACAUCACUUCUGCUCCUGAAUAGGCAAGCUUGUUCGCUUUCCCCCAAGUGGUUAUGUCUCUUGUUGAUUUCCAAGAAAAUCCUAGGGCAACUGGGACUAGACUGACAUUAAAAAAAAAAAUGAAAAAAGUGAAAUGAAGGAAAUAUUGUAAAGAUCCACAAAUAUAUUAUCUGGGGGAUUUAUUCACAGGUGAUGUGUCCAGUUGUAUGGCGGGAUGAAUACAUUCUUAUUAAUUAUUAAAUCGCUCAGAUGGUCCUCCUCCCCAAACCUGACAUUUACUGAAAAAAAGUAAUUGAAAAGGAUUUGGCCAGUUCCACUCCCUGUGUUCAAAUGUUAUAUAACAGACAACUCCACCUCUCUGCUCCCUCUCUCUCUGUCUCUGCUUUCAGGCUAACACACAGUUUAUUGGGUAUCAAUAAAACAUAAGAAUUACUGCUGGUAUAACAAUAGCACCUCUUUGCAACCUUCAGCCUGCUUAGCUCCCAGGAAUAGCGUGCUAAUGAGGGUGUGCAGUGUUUUGGACAGAUGCUAGAGCGUUAUGCUGGGUUGAUAACUGCAUCUCUUGGAUCAAGCACUGUGCUGGGAUGACUCAUGCCUUUUACUAAUUUAUAAGAGCAGUCUUCCUUGAAAUCCCAAUGUAAAUACUAUCGCCCUGUUCUCUGUGAGUGACUACAGCCUUGAAGUCAACAAAAGUAAUGGGCACUCUGCGUGGUGUAACGAGUCACCAACAUAUUCCUUUUUAUCCCCUGGAUGAUAUAUUUGAAUUUCGGGUUGUUUUGCUUUGGUUUAAAUUUUUACUCUUUUUUUCCCAGGGGCUGUAUGAACGCAAGGACCACAUAGCCCGAAGAGGAGCAAGGACAGUGGACAAGAGCAACACAAAAAGGCUGAGCCUUAGUUUUGAAAAGAGGGAGGCUGGAGCUGUAUUGCAAACCAGAUGGUUUGGAUGCACAUAAUUCCCUAACUUAAAAUCAGGGUUCAUUUACUGCAUGUGUUUCCUUUACAGGAUGGUCACUAAACAGGAUGGUAUCCCGUUCACACCUGUCAGGAGUGAGAAAUGAGGAUUUAAAAAAUCAGACUCAGUACAUUUCCUUUUCCAUUUUUACUGAAGAGAUAUUUACAAGUUUUUCUAUCUUCCUGGCUUGUAUUGUUUUUUAUGUCCCUGUAAUUAUUCUGUGCAAACAAGGUGUUCGUGCACUGGCAUUACUAGAUAAAAAUACUAGAUACCCCAUUGUACUUGCUAAAGACAUUGGGCAAACCUGAGAGUGAAGACAUGGUUUACAUCUUCCCUCACUGACAUACAGUGCUUUAGCUGAGCAUAAAAGAAGAUUCCCAAAGUGCCUGAGCAAAGCCAUUUUCACAGCUGGUUUCAAGCACCUUUGCUUUUAGGUCAAUGAGCAUUGCUAUCCACAGUGUGACAUCCUCAUCCAAGCCCAGAGUCCUGCAGGACAGGAUGGGAUAACUCACCGGUCAUGACCCUCUCACUGAUUCUAAAGGAAAGGUAAAUGACGAGCUCAGACCACACAUCAGAUCUUCAGGUACCUAGAAAUAGAUGAGAGGACCCCCUGAACUGGAAGAGAACCAGUUGCUUUGUCAGCAGUGAGCUAUCAGCAAGGUACUGAUGUGAAGCUGAGAUGUAAAAUCCUAAAGUCCCACAUCCUAUUGCUAUCAUUAAUAUCACAAACUGUGAGAAAUCUGUAUGUGCUGACAGUGAUUUUUCAAGGUAAGUAGGAAUCUCUUUUCCCCCAUGUCUUGUAACACAGCCAUUUUAGGCAGAUCCCCUUCCCUCAGUUACUCCAGACACCUCUUUGACCACAAGCUUGCCACCAAGGAGGGUCCACUCUUCCACAGCCUGUGAUAAGUGCUUUUGUAGGCUACUUCAGGGUUCAGCUUGAUUUUAAUUCUCUCUCUCUUUUUUUUUUUUUCUCAUCAUGUCCUGAGACGAAGUGGGGCUGGCACCAGCUUCAGAUAUCAAACUGUUAAAGAACUGAAGUAGGUUGAGAAGGAUUGACCCAUGGCAAAGGGAAGAAGAAUGAAACUGGGACCCAAAGCAUUGACACCUCCCGCUACUCGAAAGCAUCUCUGCUGGGUUUGCAUCUAUUCUGAAAACUAGCCAUGUGCUGGAGGACACUUCUCCAGGAACUGGCUGGUCCUCACAGGCCACCUAUCCCAGCAUGUGCUUAGCAAUUUAAGGCAGAAACUCUACCCUGUUAAUGCCUCUAGGAUGAAUAGCUUCCUUCUCAUGGUGUGAGUGCAGCCUUGCUCUAUGGUACAUCACAGAUACUCAGAUGAAGCUGUCUGCAGUCUGUUGACAGAUAUGGUACUUCUAGUCUGUACAUGGAAUGUGUGAUUUGCACAAGAAAUAGAAGCAGUAGUUCCCUGUGUACAAAACCCCACCCAAUUUACAAGUAUUGUCAUGACCAAAAUCACAGUUAGAUUAUUAUUGGGGAAACAAUAUUAUGAUUCUGUCUCUAGAAAGUGUUGCUGAAGUUUCGACUUUGGGAAACCCUUUCUGCCACAUUUGAUUACAAAUGACUGUCACAUACUUACCACCCUUACUGCUCCUUCUCUCCAAAAAUUCCCAACAAUCAAACCUCAGCAAAGAAGUGGCCUGCUCAAACAGCAUUUUGAAACAGUGCCUGAAGGUUUCACUAAUCCUGUUGAACUUAUGUGGAUGGUGCCCUGGUGUUUGAGGGAAACCACAUGCUGUGUGAAAGUGCCCCAGGGCAGACCAAGUGACGACACUUCUGGAGUGAAAUGCAGGAAGAAAAUAUAUGCAACUCAAGGCAAAAGAGUUCCAUCAGAGAUGGCUUUAGCCCAAGGACUUAUGCAAAACAGGUCCAUCAUGUCUCCAGUUUAGCAAGAAAAAGCAAAGGAACAAGAGAGUAGAGGAUAACUCCAAUGGGGAAAGCAACUAGCCUUUGCAUGAGUGGCUUUUAGGCCUGAGCAUAUGCAUUAGACAUAUUAAUUUCCUCAAACUGUAUAUUUUCAUGGCUCUUUCCUCUAUGGCUUACAUGUAUGUGUUAGAAUCAGUUCUGUCUUAUCAUCAUUGCCAUGGUUACCUUAUCAUUAUUGUAUGUAUGUGUUGCUGUACUACUAUUGCAGAUGUCUUACCAAAGUUCCCUAAAGCAAAAUGAUCCCAGAACUUACUCUGCACACAUCCCAAACUGCUAAGCAUUUGUAUCUUUUAUGAUCUGUUUCACAGCUAAAACAAAGUUGGCUUGAACAUCUCUGCUGAAAUAAAGCAGAGAACAAAUUACUCCAUACAUCAUCUUUACC